rnacentral:rRNA from 1 species
UACGAAGGGGGCUAGCGUUGUUCGGAAUUAUUGGGCGUAAAGGGCGCGUAGGCGGCUUGACAAGUCAAAGGUGAAAUCCCUCGGCUCAACUGAGGAACUGCCUUUGAAACUGUCUGGCUUGAGGCCGGGAGGGGGUAGCGGAAUUCCCAGUGUAGCGGUGAAAUGCGUAGAUAUUGGGAGGAACACCAGUGGCGAAGGCGGCUACCUGGACCGGUUCUGACGCUGAUGCGCGAAAGCGUGGGUAGCAAACAGG